rnacentral:rRNA from 1 species
AAUCAACGCUGGCGGCGUGCCUCAGACAUGCAAGUCGAACGCGAAAGUUUCCUUCGGGGAACAAGUAGAGUGGCGCACGGGUGAGUAACACGUAGGUAAUCUACCUUUGGAUGGGGAAUAACAACCGGAAACGGUUGCUAAUACCGCAUAAUGCAGCGGCACCUAAUGGUGACAGUUGUUAAAGCGGGGGAUCGAAAGACCUCGCGUCUGAAGAGGAGCCUGCGGCGGAUUAGCUAGNGGUAGGUAAUGGCUUACCAAGGCGACGAUCCGUAACCGGCCUGAGAGGGCGGGUCGGUCACACUGACACUGACAUACGGGUCAGACUCCUACGGGAGGCAGCAGUGGGGAAGUCUUGCGCAAUGGGCGAAAGACCUGACGCAGCGACGCCGC